rnacentral:misc_RNA from 1 species
GAUGAAGAACGUAGCGAACUGCGAUAAGUAAUGUGAAUUGCAGAAUUCAGUGAAUCAUCGAGUCUUUGAACGCACAUUGCGCCCCUUGGUAUUCCAUGGGGCAUGCCUGUUCGAGCGUCAUUUGUACCUUCAAGCUUUGCUUGGUGUUGGGUGUUUGUCUCGCCUUUGCGUGUAGACUCGCCUUAAAAUAAUUGGCAGCCGGCGUAUUGAUUUCGGAGCGCAGUACAUCUCGCGCUUUGCACUCAUAACGACAGCGUCCAAAAGUACAUUUUACACUCUUGACCUCGGAUCAGGUAGGGAUACCCGCUGAACUUAAGCAUAUCAAUAAGCGGAGGA